GAUGAACGCUGGCGGCGUGCCUAAUACAUGCAAGUCGAGCGAACGGACGAGAAGCUUGCUUCUCUGUUGUUAGCGGCGGACGGGUGAGUAACACGUGGAUAACCUACCUAUAAGACUGGGAUAACUUCGGGAAACCGGAGCUAAUACCGGAUAAUAUUUUGAACCGCAUGGUUCAAAAGUGAAAGACGGUCUUGCUGUCACUUAUAGAUGGAUCCGCGCUGCAUUAGCUAGUUGGUAAGGUAACGGCUUACCAAGGCAACGAUGCAUAGCCGACCUGAGAGGGUGAUCGGCCACACUGGAACUGAGACACGGUCCAGACUCCUACGGGAGGCAGCAGUAGGGAAUCUUCCGCAAUGGGCGAAAGCCUGACGGAGCAACGCCGCGUGAGUGAUGAAGGUCUUCGGAUCGUAAAACUCUGUUAUUAGGGAAGAACAUAUGUGUAGGUAACUGUGCACAUCUUGACGGUACCUAAUCAGAAAGCCACGGCUAACUACGUG
rnacentral:rRNA from 1 species